CACAUUUAACGGGGUAAAAAAGGACAUUUUAGCACCUCCUGUGGGUGGAGCUGUAGGAGGGGCCAAAAUAUUGCUGUUUAGACAUAUUUGUGCGAACUGACAAGUGAAAACACAAACGAAUUUAGGAUUUCACAUUUUGAGGCCCAUUUGGAUUGAAACAUUUUUCCGAUUUCGUGUGUUUGGUUUUAUCUUCAAACAAUAUGUUUCGUCCUGAAUUGACACUCGACCAAAAAAUUUCAAGAGCUUCAGCUGCAAAGAACAUGAUAAAGAAUGGCGAUAAAUAUACAAUUGGUGUUGCUUAUGGAGACAGUCAACGGUUCAGGUUUGAAGACAACGGAACAAUCUCUUUAUAUCACCAAUCAGAAAAAGCUAACAUUCCCAAUACUGUUCUUGCUUGGAGCUGUAUGUCGACAAUCAACUCUACAAUUUCUCGAGUUGAUGGUAGACUAAAUUCAGCUAAAUACAGCAAUCUCCUGGAAAAUCAUGUGCUUCCAUUGAGAGAACAAACUUCAUCGAACAUGAUUC